UCUAAUCAAAAGCGGUUGGAUCACUUCUGCUCACCGCCUGAACCCGCAUCAGUGUCUUUCUUCUGGGACCGAGUGUAGCACCGCCACACAACAUCGAAACUCACGCGAUUCGGCAUGUUUUUUCUCCAACUCCUUACCUGCAGAAUGUAGAAAAUGGCCCCAUGAGCUUGGCGCUCUUGUGAAAGUUGUUGCAGUGAAGUGAAUGUGGACAGGACAGGUCUUGGGGUAAGCUUCUUCUCAGGGUAAUGGCCAAGUAAUAAUCGAUAUGUCGUAGUUUAAAUUCAUGUCUAACUUGCCAAAGUACUAAUCAGGAUAGCUGUUUAAGAAUGGAGCAUUUAUUAAGAAGCUCCGAUUCUCCAAAAGGCAACUGCCAAGAUAAAGUGCGAGUAUCGAGAGUUGCCUGCAACUGAGGAACUAUUUUCCCUUAGAGAAAGGGCAUCUUUAUGGGAUAGUGGAUACGUAUUCAGCUUCUUUCACCAUGUCUUUAGUAUAACCACUCUAACGAGUGUUUUUAUCUAUGUAGCACCGACACAAUCAUCGGUCCAUCAGAAAGCUUGAGCUGCUAGAUCAGACAAGUCUCCAAUCUAAAAGCUCAAACAUUUUGCAGCCAUCAUGUUGUAAAUAUAAUCUGAGAAGCAACUGACAAUUCUACGACAGUCCAUUUCUGGAGUGCGCUCGCUUUCCGCUUUAGUUUGGCCUAGAGUUCCUUUGCUACUUCUGGGAGAGGAAAUGAAAGAACCGGUUUCACCCUGACCUAAUGCAUGUACUGGUGUGGAGUUGCAAACUCAAGUCAAUGGAAAGUAGAACUGGCGAAAGAUUCGACCAGAAAAAGCAUGGUAGAUCGAGGGUUUUGUUCGACCACUACACUUCAUCACUGAUAAACAGAUGACUGCUGGCAAGAAUUUGAGGUAUAUUCAAGACUUGAGAGUUGUAAAUGUUCAUUAAUAGAAAGAAAUUC
rnacentral:lncRNA from 1 species